rnacentral:rRNA from 1 species
UGGGGAAUAUUGCACAAUGGGCGCAAGCCUGAUGCAGCCAUGCCGCGUGUGUGAAGAAGGCCUUCGGGUUGUAAAGCACUUUCAGCGAGGAGGAAGGGUAGUGUGUUAAUAGCACAUUGCAUUGACGUUACUCGCAGAAGAAGCACCGGCUAACUCCGUGCCAGCAGCCGCGGUAAUACGGAGGGUGCAAGCGUUAAUCGGGAUUACUGGGCGUAAAGCGCAUGCAGGCGGUUUGUUAAGUCAGAUGUGAAAUCCCCGCGCUUAACGUGGGAACUGCAUUUGAAACUGGCAAGCUAGAGUCUUGUAGAGGGGGGUAGAAUUCCAGGUGUAGCGGUGAAAUGCGUAGAGAUCUGGAGGAAUACCGGUGGCGAAGGCGGCCCCCUGGACAAAGACUGACGCUCAGGUGCGAAAGCGUGGGGAGCAAACA